GAUGAACGCUGGCGGCGUGCCUAAUACAUGCAAGUCGAGCGAACGGACGAGAAGCUUGCUUCUCUGAUGUUAGCGGCGGACGGGUGAGUAACACGUGGAUAACCUACCUAUAAGACUGGGAUAACUUCGGGAAACCGGAGCUAAUACCGGAUAAUAUUUUGAACCGCAUGGUUCAAAAGUGAAAGACGGUCUUGCUGUCACUUAUAGAUGGAUCCGCGCUGCAUUAGCUAGUUGGUAAGGUAGCGGCUUACCAAGGCAACGAUGCAUAGCCGACCUGAGAGGGUGAUCGGCCCCACUGGAACUGAGACACGGUCCAGACUCCUACGGGAGGCAGCAGUAGGGAAUCUUCCGCAAUGGGCGAAAGCCUGACGGAGCAACGCCGCGUGAGUGAUGAAGGUCUUCGGAUCGUAAAACUCUGUUAUUAGGGAAGAACAUAUGUGUAAGUAACUGUGCACAUCUUGACGGUACCUAAUCAGAAAGCCACGGCUAACUACGUG
rnacentral:rRNA from 1 species